rnacentral:rRNA from 1 species
AGCAGUCGCCGCGGGAAUACGAAGGGUGCAAGCGUCAAUCGGAAUUACUGGGCGUAGAGCGUGCGUAGGCGGUUUGUUAAGUCUGUUGUGAAAUCCCCGGGCUCAACCUGGGAAUGGCAAUGGAUACUGGCAAGCUAAAGUGUGUCAGAGGAUGGUGGAAUUCCCGGUGUAGCGGUGAAAUGCGUAGAGAUCGGGAGGAACAUCAGUGGCGAAGGCGGCCAUCUGGGACAACACUGACGCUGAGGCACGAAAGCGUGGGGAGCAAACAGGAUUAGAUACCCGCGUAGUCCCUGUCUCUUAUAC